CACAUUGCCCUCCAGAGCAAUUUGGCUUCAAGGUGUGACAUCAAAGUGCAUUCAGAAACUGUCAGCAUUGUGAUGCAGGAGCAGGUUGUCACCGCGAAAAUGUCCCCAGCAAGGGUUCAGCUGUGUCCUGGGGCAAGGCAUCAGGAUGCUCCCAGUGGAACAUCAGGAUGUGGCAGGAUGUCGAGGCCCAUCAAAGGGAAGGAUCGCAAAAGUCACUGCCUUCUGCUCCCCUCUGCCCUAGGCGGGGCAGGUGUCCCUGCUGGCUUUGCCCUCUCCAUGCUUGUUUGUGUGAACAGACUCACGAAGGAGCAGAGUGGAAACCGUUAGAGAGACCAUUUCCAAGCACAGCUGCCCAAAAAACGUCAUGGUGUAUAUUCAUGGCAUUUCCCUCCGGAUGGCAGAGCAGCAAGGAUUCUUUGUAGUCAAGAGGAUCCAAGAGGAAGUUUUAAUUUCAGUCUGGCAGCAGAAAAAAGCGAAUGCAUGUGGAGUGAGGAGUCAGGAGUACAGACCCACUAGUUCUUCAUGAACUGCACACGAGUGUUUUUACACUGAGUUGUUCUACUCCAUGCAAAAACAUUGAGGAUGGCACUGCUGGUCUUGUCACAAACUGCUUGACAAACCACUACUCCACUUGCCAGGUGAAUUUUGUCAAGUACCUGCAAAGAGAAGCCUGACACUAAAAAACAUUAAACUGCAAAAUGGGGGUGACCAUUGCUGGUCUCGCCAUUUAAUUUGUACAUUUUCUUCAUAUUCCUCCAACAUGUCACUGUUAGCCUGUUCGUAUUAGAACUGAGAAUUAUUUGAAUGCAGAUACUUUGUCUCUUUGUAGGUAUUGGUGCAUCGAGCAGUCUCUUGCUGCCUUCUCUAGGCCUGUUUCAAACAAUUGUUAUAGCAGUUCAUAAUUUUAAUUUAAACAUUUUUAUUAAUAAUUCAUUUAUUAUCUGAUGGGAAAACUGAGCCUGGUCUCAUCGCUUGCUGGACCUUGCUGCACCUGAGACCUAGCAUGUACCUGCACUUUGGAGGUAGAAACCUGUGGCUCUGAGAAGCUUCACUGCUCCCUGAAUCAUCUGCUGCCAUUCAUAGCAGCACCCUGGUCCUCCUGCAGCUGUGCAACACCUACCAGCUAUCAACCUCUAAAGCAACAAGUCAACAAGAAAAUUGUUUUCUCACUACACCACUAGAUGCCCACCUUUCUAGCUAAGUGGUCCAGGGACUGGAAACAAGUUUUUUUCUCUUUGAGCGGUGAAUAUUCUUGAGCUGUCACAGUGUAGAAGGGUAUUUUUUGACACACAGAUGACCUCAGUUCUAUCUAAGAUUUCAUGGGUGAGCAUGUACCCUGGCAAAAACAUUUACCUUCCUCUGAGCAGUGCAUUGAUUAGUACAGUAGUACAUGAUAAUGUCCUAACAAUAAACUGAUUAAUAUUUUGAUAAAUCAGAUGUCACACAGUAAACCAGGAGACACUUCUCCUGCUGAAUAAAAGAUUGUUAUCAAGCUUAAUGUGAAUUUAAUAAGAGCGCACAUGCAACAGCUGGCUCCAUGGUGUUCUGGUCGACUAUGAUGAACUUUCAUGUGAAGAUGGGAAGAACGUGUAUUUUUAAAAAGGAAGCAAAGAAGACAAGAAAGAGGUCUGUAUAUAUCAUACUGUAUGAAUACUUAUUGUUGGUUAAAGGUUGACCAUAAUAACAAAGGAUCAUAGGAAUAGCUUGCUACUAUUGAGGGCAGGGAAGGGUUAACAGGGCCAGGGUCACAUCUCUGGAAAGAUUUCAUCCUGCUGUGAUGAACACAGCUCCU